AUUAGACUGGGGCUAAAAACCACCCUCACUAACAUUAGAUUAGGGGCUACGAAACACCCCACACUGAAAUUAGACUGGGGUCACAAAUAUGCAUUGACUUAACAAUGGAGACAAGAGAAACAGCUUAGGUUGAAGCUUGGACAGAAAUAAUGUGAAGGAAAAUAUCUUUUAUUCUACUCAAAUGGUUAUCCCCCUUGACCAAAACAUAAGUGCAUACAUCUACGUUCAAUAUAUGUGUGUGUUAAUGCUAAAAACAAUGCACGCUUCCAAUGUCGUUAGAUCCAACUCCAGCAGCAGUGUCACAAUGUAUUUAAAGUAAAAUAAAAAAGGACAGUGAAAUGUAAAUAGAUGUUAUGUUAGUUGCAUACUGCUAGUUCCCACAUCCAGAUACAAUCAAUCCACACCGAUUUCAUAGAUAGUAUCACUCAAGGCUUUCAGUCAGAUAAAUCUUACUAUUAAAAGAAAAAAAAAAGCUUCUACAUUAGUCAUAAAAUAAUAAUAAUAAUAGCCCCCGCCCCCUCUCUCCUUACCCAAUGUGGAAAUUGAGCCCUGAGUAUUUCUGUACUAACAAAAUUACACUAAGUCAUAAGAGCUUGGUUCUGUUCCAAAGAUUAACUUCCUAGAAAGAAAAAAAAAAACUUUAAUCCUGACUGCAGCUAAUGAUAAUGUGCACAACAUAUGUACUACUACCCUCAUACUACACGAUGAAAAAAAAGUGACAUCUGAGGACAACCAGCAAGAAGACAUGAGCUAGGAGAAAAAAAUAUAUUUUUAAUUUUAAAACAAAUACAAAAC